GACGAACGCUGGCGGCGUGCUUAACACAUGCAAGUUGAACGGUAUGACAUGGAAGCUUGCUGAAGUGUCAUAUAGUAGCGGACGGGUGAGUAAUGCAUGAGAAGCUGCCAUUGGGAGGGGGACAACAGUUGGAAACGGCUGCUAAUACCCCGUAUGCCGGAAGGUGAAAGGGAGUAAUCCGCCCGAUGAGGUGCUCAUGUCCUAUCAGCUGGUUGGUGGGGUAACGGCCUACCAAGGCGACGACGGGUAGCCGGCCUGAGAGGGUGAACGGCCACACUGGAACUGAGAUACGGUCCAGACUCCUACGGGAGGCAGCAGUGGGGAAUAUUGGGCAAUGGGGGCAACCCUGACCCAGCGACGCCGCGUGGGGGAAGACGGCC
rnacentral:rRNA from 1 species